rnacentral:rRNA from 1 species
GGGUGUGAUCAUACUAGCGUUAAUGCAUCAGAUCCCUUUAGAACUCUGCAGUUAAGCGCGCUUGGGCUAUAGUAGUACUGGGAUGGGCGACCUCCCGGGAAGUCCUAGUGUUGCACCCU